rnacentral:lncRNA from 1 species
AUUCGAUGAGGUACUGGGUACCAACUUACUUCGGCUUGGCCGAUGAGACACUGGGUGUCAACUAUUGCUUCGAACUAUCCGAUGAGGCACUGGGUGCCAUUCUGGUGUGUUUGGUUGGAUCCGUGUAUCCGCCAAGGACCGAGUCUUGUUAAUAGGGGUAAAUAAUUGAAAUGAGAAAAUUGAAUAAAUGUGAUUGAUUGAGCUAUGGGAAGAAACGAUAAAGUGAAGUUGUGAAUUGAUGUGUGAAUUGGAAAUCGAAAUAAGAGAAUUAAAGAUAUGAACCCAAAGUUCAUGAUAUGAUAAAGAGUAAAUUUUGUUAUAUGAUAUUAG